rnacentral:rRNA from 1 species
UACGGAGGGAGCUAGCGUUGUUCGGAAUUACUGGGCGUAAAGCGCACGUAGGCGGCUUUGUAAGUUAGAGGUGAAAGCCCGGGGCUCAACCCCGGAAUUGCCUUUAAGACUGCAUCGCUUGAAUCCAGGAGAGGUGAGUGGAAUUCCGAGUGUAGAGGUGAAAAUUCGUAGAUAUUCGCAAGAACACCAGUGGCGAAGGCGGCUCACUGGCCCGAUACUGACGCUGAGGCGCGAAAGCGUGGGGAGCAAACAGG